GGAUAUAAGGUAGGUCUGGCUGUGCCAUCUGUCACCCCGACUGAUGUCCAGGGUCGAUUCAGUGGACCUGUGUGUUGAGUCAGGUGUUUCCUUCUUCCCUCUCUGCUCCCUGUACCUGACUCCUGAAACUUUGGCUGAGUGUAUUGUAACCGCACUGCCCUGCUAGAAUCUCCAGGCAGGCUCGGAACCAGAGAAGCACGGUGGUGGGGGACAAUUCAGGGACUGAAAUUCGCAAGUGUGAGUUUGUGACUUCCACCCUUAAC
rnacentral:snRNA from 1 species